rnacentral:misc_RNA from 1 species
CGUAAAUGUGUACAAAAUUUAACCAAAGAAUUGUAGUGAAAAUUAAUAUUAAAAAAAAAAACAACAACAACAAGUGCUAAAACAACAUGAAUGCAACAACACGCCUAAAUUCAGCAAAUAAUUUCGCAAAUUGCAACAACCACAUAGAGUCGAACUUUGGCAGUGCAAAAUCCAGCAGCAACAACAACAUCUACAAACGCAUACCUGCAGUAACAACAACAACAAAAACAAAAACAACACAUUCCUAUAGCGACAACAAUACCAACAACAAUCUGCCGCUACAACAAACCGCCAGCAACGGAAUAGCCGCAGGCCAACAACAGCAACGACUGUGUUCACCAGCACCGGCUGAGACGGCGACAAGCCGAGAAUGUUCCAGCGUUGCAUACAGCACGUUGACAACAAUGCGACUGGUGGGGGCCAAGGAGUCGAGCGCGGCGGCGGCCGAUACCGAGGAGGCGAGGACUAAAUUGAUGCCAGCAACGGCAAUUAAAAUCAUCAGCGUCAAUAAUAGCAAGAGCAACAAUAACAAUACUAAAGCGCAUAAGAACUUAAGCAGCAACAAUAAAAACAAUCACAACAACAACAACAACUUGGACAACAACAUCAACAAAUCAACAACGAAAUCGACAGGAACAACUGGUGCCAAAUUAGACUCAUCGAUGUUGAUUAAUGCUCGCAAUCAAUUGUCGACAAUAACAACAACAACGUCUGAACGGCGACAACAACAAGAACAAAUGGGACAACAACAAACAGAACACAUGUUGUCCAUAACAAGGGACCUCAAUCAAAUCAAUUUAAAAUCAUCACUUUACGCCGAACAACAAGUACACAACGCCAACAAUAACAACAACAAGCACAAUUGUAGAGGCAACAAGCAGCAGGAGCAGCAGCAACAAAAUAGCUUGAGUACAAACGUCAGUAGCGACAACAACAAUGGUAGUAGUAAUAAUAAGCACAGCAGUGCGGGUAAUAAUAAUAGGCAAAAACAACAACAACAAAUCAUAAAUUGCAACAACAACAACAGCAGUAAGGACUGUGAUCAAGCAAUUGACAAGAACAAAAACACGCACAACAACAGAAGAAUAAUGAAAAAUUACGACAACAACAACAACAACAACAGUAAGGGGAGCAAUGAGCCACAGCCACAACAACAACAACAGCAGCUGAUAACGCUAACAAUAGCGAAAGCUGUGCAAACGGAAACGAAAGCGAUGGUCAGUGAGAAAAUAAGCACAACAACGAAAGUAAACACAACUACAACCACAACAACAACAACACCGACACCGACAAUUGAAAGAGCGAAAGCCAAGUCGACAAAGCUUACGCUACGCAAAUCAUUCUCCACACCCGCUUCAUUUAAGAUUGCUGACGUUGCAGCCGCGAUGAGCCAGAGCGGCGGCAGCAUGAUGAUUGCCUACAACAACAACAACAAUAGCAGAGCAAGCGAGAGCUAUAGCAAAAGCGUGAGUAAAGCGUUGCCAAAGUCGGAGCUGUUGAGUGGCAAGAAAAGUGAUAGUGAUGGUGGUGGUGAUGUUGUUGUGGGCGGUGGAGGUCAUGUACGCGGCGCUGCCACAUGCACAAUGCAGCCAGCGACGCAGUCUGCUGUGGCAUCGCCAAAAGUAAACUUUGCACCAUCGCCGGCAAUAAUCACCAAUGCGACACAGCGCGCUAAUGCUUCAAUUGAGUCAAUAACUACAGUAGCAAAAACAACAGCGACAACAAAAACAAGUACAACAACAACAAUAAGCGCAUCACCGCAGCUUGCCACAGUGGAUGUCGCAAGGCGUUCGCAGACUGCCGCGCAUGCCUCGCAUGCCUCGCAACAAGACCCACCACAAGAGCGACAGCUGCAGCAACAACAACAACAACUACGGCAACAACAAUACCAGCAGUCAAGCACGAAAUCAGUAAAAGCGAAAGAUAAUGAUAAUCAAGUCAUUUGCGGCCACAAAAGUAUUUCGAAUGAUGGCAAUGUUGUUGCUGUUGCCGACACGACAACCACCUCGUCGCCGUUGCCGCUGUCCCCCGUUAGCUUCGAUUUGGAUUUGCGCUUCGGUUGUGCGCAUUACAAGCGCCGCGCCAUGUUUGUGACACCCUGCUGUAAUAAAUUCUACAAAUGUCGUUUUUGUCAUGAUGAAAAUGAGUCGCAUCAUUUCGAUCGUAAAACAUUAACCGAAUUGAUUUGCUCCGAGUGCAAUACACGACAGAAAGUACAGGAGCAAUGUGAGGCUUGUGGCACGCGAUUUGGCAAGUACACCUGCCUCAUCUGUAAUCUAUUCGACGACACCGACAAGAAGCAAUAUCACUGUAACGGUUGCGGCAUUUGCCGCAUUGGCGGCGCUGAGAACUUCUUUCAUUGCAAAGUGUGCGACAUGUGCCUGCCGAUUCGAUUGAAGAUCGAUGGACAUCGGUGCGUCGAGAAUAUUUCACGUUCGCAUUGUCCCGUUUGCCUGGGCGACAUACACACAUCACGUAUACCAUGUCACAUACCCGAUUGCGGUCAUCUACUACAUAAGACGUGCUUUGAUCAAUUGCUCAACUCGGGACACUAUACAUGCCCCAUUUGUCAGACAUCGUUAAUUGAUAUGACUGCGCUAUGGGAGUACUUGGAUGCGCAAGCGGUGUCCCUGCCGGUACCAAAGAAAUAUGAGAAUCAACGUAUACAUAUUUUUUGCAACGACUGUCAUAAGACCUCUAAGACCAAAUUCAAUUUUAUCGGUUUGAAAUGUAUGCAAUGCGGCGCUUAUAAUACAACACAGGAUGUCAAGCGACGUAUGUCAUUGGUCACAGAUGAACCUUCAUCAGCAUGACGCUGCACCCAUUUUCCUACUAUAACCUCACAUAUUUUUGCAAGCCAAAUUGCAUCCCUUUUUGUUGGAGUCAACGUCAAACACUGAAACUCUUGCCAUUUUGAGAUUAUGCACUGCUACAGUGAGCGCCGCCGCUGCAAAGGAAUGCUGUGAAGCGUGAAAUAACCGCAACUGGUGCUACUAUGUAAAGUACAUAUGCACAUACAUACAAGUACAGACAUGAUAAUGUAUGUAUGUGUGGGUGUGUCAGUCGUUGAAUUAACUGUUGCGGCAUUUGCCGGAAUGUAGAUGACUCGUCGGUUAAUUCGAGCUGACAUCGAAUACCUGAAUCGAAUUACAACGCAUAAUUUUGAAAAUACACUACUAAAUACAGUAAUAUUAAAUCGCA